rnacentral:SRP_RNA from 1 species
CCAUACCAGCCGGGGAAUUAGCGGUGCCCUGUACCUGAAAUCCGCUAUAGCAGGGGUGCAUUCCUCUUCUGAGGGCCGAGCGUUUUCGGUCUGUGGCGCACUUUUCAUGUUGAGAAGUGGGUCUUGCGCAAUCGGGAGCUGUGAACCAUGUCAGGUGGGGAACCAAGCAGCAUUAAGCGGUGUACCCGAUGUGCCGCGAGUCAGCCUGCUUUGAGUGAAGGGUGCGUAUGUCGCGCGGACGCGACGUUCGAGGUUGAGGUGUAUGG